GCCUGGGUGGCUCAGUGGUUGAGCAUCUGCCUUUGGCUCAGGGUGUGAUCCCGAGAUCUGGGAUCGAGUCCCACAUCAGGCU
rfam:Canis lupus familiaris chromosome 10, whole genome shotgun sequence.